rnacentral:rRNA from 1 species
GACGAACGCUGGCGGCGUGCUUAACACAUGCAAGUCGAACGGAAAGGCCUGCUUUCCCUUGUGGAUUGCGGGUACUCGAGUGGCGAACGGGUGAGUAACACGUGAGUGAUCUGCCCCCAACUUGGGUAUAAGCCUGGGAAACUGGGUCUAAUUCCCGAUAGGACUGCAGGGUGGUGCCUGUGGUGGAAAACGAUUUUCUAGUGGUUGGGGGUGAGCUCGCGGCCUAUCAGCUUGUUGGUGGGGUAAUGGCCUACCAAGGCGGCGACGGGUAGCCGGCCUGAGAGGGUGGACGGCCACAUUGGGACUGAGAUACGGCCCAGACUCCUACGGGAGGCAGCAGUGGGGAAUAGUGCACAAUGGGCGGAAGCCUGAUGCAGCGACGCCGCGUGGGGGAUGACGGCCUUCGGGUGGUAAACUCCUUUCGACCGCGAGGAAGCCACCUGGUUGGAAGGGUGGUGACGGUAGUGGUAGAAGAAGCACCGGCUAACUACGUG